GAUGAACGCUGGCGGCGUGCCUAAUACAUGCAAGUCGAGCGAACGGACGAGAAGCUUGCUUCUCUGAUGUUAGCGGCGGACGGGUGAGUAACACGUGGAUAACCUACCUAUAAGACUGGGAUAACUUCGGGAAACCGGAGCUAAUACCGGAUGAUAUUUUGAACCGCAGGGUUCAAAAGUGAAAGACGGUCUUGCUGUCACUUAUAGAUGGAUCCGCGCUGCAUUAGCUAGUUGGUAAGGUAACGGCUUACCAAGGCAACGAUGCAUAGCCGACCUGAGAGGGUGAUCGGCCACACUGGAACUGAGACACGGUCCAGACUCCUACGGGAGGCAGCAGUAGGGAACCUUCCGCAAUGGGCGAAAGCCUGACGGAGCGAGGCCGCGUGAGUGAUGAAGGUCUUCGGAUCGUAAAACUCUGUUAUUGGUGAAGAACAUAUGUGUAAGUAACUGUGCACAUCUUGACGGUACCUAGUCAGAAAGCCACGGCUAACUACGUG
rnacentral:rRNA from 1 species